rnacentral:rRNA from 1 species
UGAAGCGGCAAUAGCUCAAAUUUGAAAUCUGGCCCUUUCAGGGUCCGAGUUGUAAUUUAAAGAGGAUGUUUCGGCGAGUGCUCCCGUCUAAGUUCCUUGGAACAGGACGUCAUAGAGGGUGAGAAUCCCGUAUGUGAUGGGUUGCGCGAGCCAUGUGAAACUCCUUCGACGAGUCGAGUUGUUUGGGAAUGCAGCUCUAAAUGGGAGGUAAAUUCCUUCUAAAGCUAAAUACCGGCCAGAGACCGAUAGCGCACAAGUAGAGUGAUCGAAAGAUGAAAAGCACUUUGGAAAGAGAGUUAAAAAGUACGUGAAAUUGUUGAAAGGGAAGCGCUUGCGACCAGACUUGCCCGCAGUUGCUCACCUCGCCUUCUGGCGGGGGUACUCUUCUGCGGUCAGGCCAGCAUCAGUUCGAGCGGCCGGAUAAAGGCGUCGGGAAUGUAGCUCCUCUCGGGGAGUGUUAUAGCCCGGCGUGGCAUGCGGCCAGCUUGGACUGAGGAUCUCGCUUCGGCUAGGAUGCUGGCGUAAUGGUCGUAAGCGGCCCGUCUUGAAACACGGACCAAGGAGUCUAACAUCUAUGCGAGUGUUUGGGUGUCAAACCCAUGCGCGUAAUGAAAGUGAACGGAGGUGGGAACGUUUCGGCGUGCACCAUCGACCGAUCCUGAUGUCUUCGGAUGGAUUUGAGUAAGAGCAUAGCUGUUGGGACCCGAAAGAUGGUGAACUAUGCCUGAAUAGGGUGAAGUCAGAGGAAACUCUGAUGGAGGCUCGCAGCGGUUCUGACGUGCAAAUCGAUCGUCAAAUUUGGGUAUAGGGGCGAAAGACUAAUCGAACCAUUGGAACUACUACUAGGUGGUUAAGAGGGGGCAGCGGUGCCCCUUAGUCCCCCGUCCGGGGCGACACCGUCAAAUUGCGGGGACACCCUUAGAGCUCGAACUACCGCGGCCGGUCCGAAAGGACGGGUGCAGCACCUGGCUAGCAGCCACGGGUAUGGUAACAACGUUCGAGAUUGGGCAACCACGCAGCCAAGCCCUAACCCUCCCCCAGCGGGAGGCACGGGUGCAGUUCACAGACUAAAUGGCGGUGGGUAUGCUGGAAGCGUGCCUAAGUUAUAGUCGAUUCCCCAUCGAAAGGUGGGUGGUGGAGCAAAGUCUGGCAGGCUGG